GACGAGGGAUCCUAGCGUUGUUCGGAAUCAUUGGGCGUAAAGCGGGUGUAGGCGGACUUAUAAGUCAGGUGUGAAAUCCCAGGGCUCAACCCUGGAAGUGCAUUUGAUACUGUAAGUCUUGAGUGUGGUAGAGGUUACUGGAAUUCCUGGUGUAGUGGUGAAAUACGUAGAUAUCAGGAGGAAUACCGGAGGCGAAGGCGGGUAACUGGGCCAACACUGACGCUGAGAUCCGAAAGCGUGGGGAUCAAACAGG
rnacentral:rRNA from 1 species